AAAAAAUGAAAAAUACUGAACCGCAAACUAAUUAAAAAGCGGAACGGCUAAAAGGGAAAUUAGACCCUUCCGCAAAAACACGCGGAUCCUGAGGUUGGAGCGGGUGGGGUCGCGGGUUGGCCCCUAAAACGACGCCAUUUUGGGUGUCUGGGGGGCCUAAUGAAACGUCGCCGUUUUGCAGUGCUAUUUAAACCCAAAAUUUUAAAAAAAAAAUUCAUUUCCAGCCUUUUCUAAAAAAAACUUCAAAAAACCUCUCAACAUUAUCUCAUUCUCCCCG
rnacentral:lncRNA from 1 species